GGCCUGGGCGGACAAGGGCACAUUGAAAUCCAGCUGUGCACUCUGGUGUGAGCUGUGACCAGGAAGAAGGAGUGUUUUCUUUUUCUAAUUUACACCCAAACAUGCUUCUGCCAGCCAACCCCAGAACCCACAGGGCUGUGACCACUUAGGUGCCUUUCUCUCACAUCUGGGGGCCUCCUGGGCUAAUGCGGGUCGUGAAGCAGGGAUGUGGGUACACUGGACUCGGUGGGGAAAGUCUACUGAGCCCUCACUUCCCUGCCGGCCGGGAGUGUUGCGUGUCAUGCUCAGGAGCUUGGACUUAAAACAAAUAAAUAAGUAAAAAAUAAAAAAUAAAAAAAAUAGGGAGCUUGGACUUGAGCGUGCAGGAAAUGGAAAGCCAGACUUGCUGAGCCCACUUGGCCCUCCCCACACUCUUCUCCUGGUCCUGCUCAAUAGGGAGCCCCUGCUGCCAUGCCACCCACCUCCCAACACAGCAGGGGCUCUCGGCCACCCUGGGGGCGAACACCGGACUUGGGCAUGACCCUUUCUGUCCCCAUCCUGAUAGCAGCUGAAACAGCUCCGGGAUCCACGUCCAGCCUGACCUGGACUCACUGAGGUUGGCCGCAGAGCUGCCCAGAGGGCCCAGGCACACAACCCAGAAGGAUGGGCUUUAGUAGUGCCCCUCGGGGUGGAUUUUGACCAGCGAGAGACCCGAGACACAGGGAGGAAGCGACAGAGACUUCCUCACUCUUCUCCCCAACAGGUGUGGCGGUUCUGUGGCCUCCCCAGAGAUGUCCAGCAUGGCCACGCCAUCCUUCUUAACCCACCCCAAUGGUCUCAGAAUAGACCAUUUUGUGUUUGCUUAUUCUCUGCUUUACCCCCUUUCUCUCCAUGUCUCUGCCCUGGGAUUACCUCCUCCUCCCCAUAAAGCUUUAGCACAGCAGCUUCGCCUCUUGUUUUUAUGAAAAAAUGGGCUAGAGCCAAGGGCUCCUGGUGGCCGACAGUGGCCAUCCUCCUGACGCUGGCCACACUAGCAUGUGACUUUUCUCGCUUCUGAGUGUGUCGGAACAAAGCUGUGCUUGUUGCACACACUUGGGCCGCAGAAUCAAGAGGGCAUGGGGUCCACCAGACGGGGCCUUAAAUCCUGGCUCUGUCGCACACCAGCUACGAGCAUAAACUGCGAUGACAGAUGGCCUGACGUGGCCAAGUCUCAGUUUCCCCUUCUGCAAAGAAGAUGGAGAUACCUGACCUCACUUC
rnacentral:lncRNA from 1 species